GACGAACGCUGGCGGCGUGCUUAACACAUGCAAGUCGAACGGAAAGGCCUCUUCGGAGGUACUCGAGUGGCGAACGGGUGAGUAACACGUGGGCAAUCUGCCCUGCACUUCGGGAUAAGCCUGGGAAACUGGGUCUAAUACCGGAUAGGACCUUAAGACGCAUGUCUUUUGGUGGAAAGCUUUUGCGGUGUGGGAUGGGCCCGCGGCCUAUCAGCUUGUUGGUGGGGUGACGGCCUACCAAGGCGACGACGGGUAGCCGGCCUGAGAGGGUGUCCGGCCACACUGGGACUGAGAUACGGCCCAGACUCCUACGGGAGGCAGCAGUGGGGAAUAUUGCACAAUGGGCGCAAGCCUGAUGCAGCGACGCCGCGUGGGGGAUGACGGCCUUCGGGUUGUAAACCUCUUUCACCAUCGACGAAGGUCCGGGUUUUCCCGGAUAGACGGUAGG
rnacentral:rRNA from 1 species